CCAGAAGCUGUGAGGCAUGUCAAGGUGUUGUUGGGCAUAUUGUGACCUGGCUUCUUUGUGGCAGUAAAGGCUUCUUUCUGGUAAUCCGACCAUGCAGCUCAUUUUUGUUCAAGUAUCGUCGCAUUGUGCUCCUUGAAACAACCACACCAUCUUUUUCCAGAGCAGCCUGUAUUUCUCUUGAGGUUACCCAUAUUUUUUUCUUUGUAUCC